rnacentral:rRNA from 1 species
UACGGGGGGGGCAAGCGUUGUUCGGAAUUACUGGGCGUAAAGGGCUCGUAGGCGGCCAACUAAGUCAGACGUGAAAUCUCUCGGCUUAACCGGGGAACUGCGUCUGAUACUGGAUGGCUUGAAUCCGGGAGAGGGAUGCGGAAUUCCAGGUGUAGCGGUGAAAUGCGUAGAUAUCUGGAGGAACACCGGUGGCGAAGGCGGCAUCCUGGACCGGCAUUGACGCUGAGGUGCGAAAGCGUGGGGAGCAAACAGG